rnacentral:rRNA from 1 species
CCUACGGGCGGCAGCAGUGGGGAAUAUUGCACAAUGGGCGCAAGCCUGAUGCAGCCAUGCCGCGUGUGUGAAGAAGGCCUUCGGGUUGUAAAGCACUUUCAGCGGGGAGGAAGGCGUUAAGGUUAAUAACCUUGUCGAUUGACGUUACCCGCAGAAGAAGCAUCGGCUAACUACGUGCCAGCAGCCGCGGUAAUACAGAGGGUGCAAGCGUUAAUCGGAAUUACUGGGCGUAAAGCGCACGCAGGCGGUCUGUCAAGUCGGAUGUGAAAUCCCCGGGCUCAACCUGGGAACUGCAUUCGAAACUGGCAGGCUAGAGUCUUGUAGAGGGGGGUAGAAUUCCAGGUGUAGCGGUGAAAUGCGUAGAGAUCUGGAGGAAUACCGGUGGCGAAGGCGGCCCCCUGGACAAAGACUGACGCUCAGGUGCGAAAGCGUGGGGAGCAAACAGGAUUAGAUACCCUGGUAGUC